rnacentral:rRNA from 1 species
AUUGAACGCUGGCGGCAGGCUUAACACAUGCAAGUCGAACGAGUGGCGGACGGGUGAGUAAUGCUUGGGAAUCUAGCUUAUGGAGGGGGAUAACUACGGGAAACUGUCGCUAAUACCGCGUACCAUAGGAUGAGCCCAAGUGGGAUUAGGUAGUUGGUGGGGUAAAGGCUCACCAAGCCGCCGAUCUCUAGCUGGUCUGAGAGGAUGACCAGCCACACUGGAACUGAGACGCGGCCCAGACUCCUACGGGAGGCAGCAGUGGGGAAUAUUGCGCAAUGGGGGCAACCUGACGCAGCCAUGCCGCGUGAAUGAAGAGGGCCUUCGGGUUGUAAAGUUCUUUCAGUAGCGAGGCGUUAACUACAGAAGAAGCACCGGCUAACUCCGUGCCAGCAGCCGCGGUAAUUC